rnacentral:lncRNA from 1 species
AAAACAAGAUCAGGGUCGUUACAUCCUUGUACAAAAGUUGUAUCUUGUUUUGUAUCCAAUAAAAAUAAAAAAUCUCGUUUAUAUUUCGAUCUCCCUAAGAUAAAUUAUCCUCCAUUUACAGCCCAUACUUCUAUAAUUCCAGCAGAGAAGUCGCCUCAAAUUUGUACUGAUUAGCUCUGUUGAGCAAUACAGCUGGAUAUAAAGAAACCAUAAGUGUCCAAACCAUUUAUAAUUCAUCUUUAGUUUUGACGUGAGACGGACGUUAGUCUGAUUAUGCACCCCAUAUCCUCGACAUUCUCUGUCUCUCCUUUGAUAAUUAAAUGUGACCAAUAGCAUCACAUACCAAUAAAAAAGGAGAAACGAGAACCAAGGCUAUAAUGACCAUCUUAAACGUAUUACUCCAAAUAAAAUCUGCUGAUGUUUAACUCUCUUCCGACACAUAUAUGAACUCCAGUCAAAGACCAAAGAAAAAGUAAAUUUAUUUCAAGGAUAAAGUUCCUUUGCACCAGAUGUGUAAAAACCCAACUCUCCUCCAUACGCUUUCCUUGAUUAUGUAAAAAAGAAGAAGCCAAAAACCAUAUUUGAUUCAAACACAGAGUAAUAUCGUUACACACAUGAACCUUAAAAUGAAAACCACUCCUCCACCCAUAUCUUUGCAUCACCGUGCACCAUAUUUGUUAAACCAAACACAUGACCAAUUCCAUGACCAAACCAAACAAACAUCCAUUAACACAUCCUGAGCUUGGAAAGAGUAUGCAAACCAAACCAGAAGUGCACCAUACGUACCAAACAUGAUACCAUAAAACCAAAAUACCAAUCUUAUUCCCAUUCCAGAUCUUAUAAAUCGAUCUAUCAAAACUCAAACAAG